UACGGGGGGGCAAGCGGUUGUUCGGAAUUACUGGGCGUAAAGGGCUCGUAGGCGGCCAACUAAGUCAGACGUGAAAUCCCUCGGCUUAACCGGGAACUGCGUCUGAUACUGGAUGGCUUGAGUUUGGGAGAGGGAUGCGGAAUUCCAGGUGUAGCGGUGAAAUGGCGUAGGAUAAUCUGGAGGAACACCGGUGGCGAAGGCGGCAUCCUGGACCGG
rnacentral:rRNA from 1 species